UGGCUCAGGAUGAACGCUGGCGGCGUGCUUAACACAUGCAAGUCGAACGAAGCGUCCCGCCCGAUGAAAUGGAGAGCUUGCUCAAAGUAGAAUCAAUUGGGAUGACUUAGUGGCGGACGGGUGAGUAACGCGUGGGUAACCUGCCUUACACAGGGGGACAACAGUUGGAAACGACUGCUAAUACCGCAUAACCCGCUAGUAUCGCAUGAUACAGACGGAAAAGAUUUAUCGGUGUAAGAUGGACCCGCGUCUGAUUAGCUAGUUGGUGAGGUAACGGCUCACCAAGGCGACGAUCAGUAGCCGGCCUGAGAGGGUGAACGGCCACAUUGGGACUGAGACACGGCCCAAACUCCUACGGGAGGCAGCAGUGGGGAAUA
rnacentral:rRNA from 1 species